rnacentral:rRNA from 1 species
CCUACGGGGGGCUGCAGUGAGGAAUAUUGGUCAAUGGACGCAAGUCUGAACCAGCCAAGUAGCGUGCAGGAUGACGGCCCUAUGGGUUGUAAACUGCUUUUAUAUGGGGAUAAAGUGGGGAACGUGUUCCCUUUUGCAGGUACCAUAUGAAUAAGGACCGGCUAAUUCCGUGCCAGCAGCCGCGGUAAUACGGAAGGUUGGGGAGUUAUCCGGAUUUAUUGGGUUUAAAGGGAGCGUAGGCCGUUUGGUAAGCGUGUUGUGAAAUGUAGUAGCUCAACUUCUAGAUUGCAGCGCGAACUGUCAGACUUGAGUGCGCACAACGUAGGCGGAAUUCAUGGUGUAGCGGUGAAAUGCUUAGAUAUCAUGAAGAACUCCGAUUGCGAAGGCAGCUUACGGGAGCGCAACUGACGCUGAAGCUCGAAGGUGCGGGUAUCGAACAGGAUUAGAUACCCCAGUAGU